AUGAACGCUGGCGGCGUGCCUAAUCCAUGCAAGUCGAGCGAACAGACGAGGAGCUUGCUCCUCUGACGUUAGCGGCGGACGGGUGAGUAACACGUGGAUAACCUACCUAUAAGACUGGGAUAACUUCGGGAAACCGGAGCUAAUACCGGAUAAUAUAUUGAACCGCAUGGUUCAAUAGUGAAAGACGGUUUUGCUGUCACUUAUAGAUGGAUCCGCGCCGCAUUAGCUAGUUGGUAAGGUAACGGCUUACCAAGGCGACGAUGCGUAGCCGACCUGAGAGGGUGAUCGGCCACACUGGAACUGAGACACGGUCCAGACUCCUACGGGAGGCAGCAGUAGGGAAUCUUCCGCAAUGGGCGAAAGCCUGACGGAGCAACGCCGCGUGAGUGAUGAAGGUCUUCGAAUCGUAAAACUCUGUUAUUAGGGAAGAACAAAUGUGUAAGUAACUAUGCACGUCUUGACGGUACCUAAGCAGAAAGCCACGGCUAACUACGU
rnacentral:rRNA from 1 species